AGAUUGAACGCUGGCGGCAGGCCUAACACAUGCAAGUCGAGCGGUAGAGAGGUGCUUGCAUCUCUUGAGAGCGGCGGACGGGUGAGUAAUGCCUAGGAAUCUGCCUAGUGGUGGGGGAUAACGUUCGGAAACGGACGCUAAUACCGCAUACGUCCUACGGGAGAAAGCGGGGGACCUUCGGGCCUCGCGCCAUUAGAUGAGCCUAGGUCGGAUUAGCUAGUUGGUGAGGUAAUGGCUCACCAAGGCGACGAUCCGUAACUGGUCUGAGAGGAUGAUCAGUCACACUGGAACUGAGACGACGGUCCAGACUCCUACGGGAGGCAAGCAGGUGGGAAUAGUUGGAACAAGUGGGACGAAAGCCUAGACUCCAGCCAUCGCCGCGUGUGUAGAAGAGGUCUUCGGAUUU
rnacentral:rRNA from 1 species